UCUUAGGCAUGAGCAAUGAAAAUGGUUUCCUGAGAUGGAAUCUACUCCUGGUAAAGAUACUAUGAA
rnacentral:pre_miRNA from 1 species